GGAAUUUUCCCUUUUAGGGGUGUGUUCCCAUUUAGGGGCUCAUGUCUCCAGUUAUGGGAGAAUGUGCCCAGUUCUGGGGUGCUCAGUGUCCCCCCACAGGUGGUGAUGGAGGAGGGGGGGUACAAGUCCCAGCUGUGGGCACAGGUGGCUCUGGGUGUCCCUGGACACUCAGUGUCCCCUCCCAGGUGGUGAUAAAAAAAGGUGGCUACGAGCCCAUCUGCAAGGGCUAGAGGUGGCCAUGGGUGGCUCUAGGUGGCCCUGGGAUGUUGUUCAGCUCUCAGUGUCCCCUCACAGAUGGUGGUGGAGGAAGGUGGCUACAAGGCCAUCUAGAGGACUGAGGGUGUCCCUGGGUGUCCCUGGGUGUCCCUGGGUGCUCAGUGUCCCCUCACAGGGGGUGAUGAAGGAGGGUGGCUGUGAGGCCACCUGCAAGGACUGGGGGUGGCCCUGGCUGGCUCUGGGUGGCCCUGGGGUGUUGUUCAGCACUCAGUGUCCCUUCACAGAUGGUGGUGGAGGAAGGUGGCUACGAGGCCACCUGCAAGGACUGGGGGUGGCCCUGGCUGGCUCUGGGUGGCCCUGGGAUGUUGUUCAGCUCUCAGUGUCCCCUCACAGAUGGUGGUGGAGGAAGGUGGCUACAAGGCCAUCUAGAGGACUGAGGGUGUCCCUGGGUGUCCCUGGGUGUCCCUGGGUGCUCAGUGUCCCCUCACAGGGGGUGAUGAAGGAGGGUGGCUGUGAGGCCACCUGCAAGGACUGGGGGUGGCCCUGGCUGGCUCUGGGUGGCCCUGACUGGCUGUCGGGUGUCCCUGGGUGUCCCUGAGCGCUCAGCGUCCCCUCAUAGGUGGUGAUAAAGAGAGGUGGCUAUGAAGCCAUCUGCAAGGACUGGGGGUGGCUCUGGGUAUCCCUGGGAUGUUGUUCAGCCCUCAGGCUGGCUCUGGGUGGCCCUGACUGGCUGUCGGGUGUCCCUGGGUGUCCCUGAGCGCUCAGCGUCCCCUCAUAGGUGGUGAUAAAGAGAGGUGGCUAUGAAGCCAUCUGCAAGGACUGGGGGUGGCUCUGGGUAUCCCUGGGAUGUUGUUCAGCCCUCAGUGUCCCCUCCCAGGUGGUGAUGGAGGAGGGUGGCCAUGAAGCCUCUGUAAGGGCUAGGGGUGUCCCUGGCUGGCUCUGGGUGCCCCUGGAUGUCCCUGAUUGCUCAGUGUCCCCUCGCAGGUGGUGAUGGAGGAGGGUGGCUGUGAGGCCAUCUGCAAGGACUGGGGGUGGCCCUUGGUGGCUCUGGGUGUCCCUGAGUGCUCAGUGUCCCCUCACAGGUGGUGAUGGAGGAGGGUGGCUACGAGGCCAUCUGCAAGGACCGGCGGUGGGCGCGCGUGGCCCUGGGUGGCCCUGGGAGCCUGUGGGUGUCUCUGGGUGUCACUGGGUGUCCCUGGCUGGCCCUGGGUGUCCCUGGCUGGCUCUGGGUGUCCCUGGGAUGUCCCUGAUUGCUCAGUGUCCCCUCCCAGGUGGUGGUGGAGGAGGGUGGCCAUGAAGCCAUCUGUAAGGAGUGGUGGUGGGCGCGUGUGGCCCUGGCUGGCCGUGGCUGUCUCUGGGUGCCCCUGGCUGGCUCUGGGUGCCCCUGGGGUGUCACUCAGCACUCCGUGUCCCCUCGCAGGUGGUGAUGGAGGAGGGUGGCUGUGAGGCCAUCUGCAAGGACUGGGGGUGGCCCUUGGUGGCUCUGGGUGGGGGGGGGGGGGGGGGGGGGGGGGGGGGGGGGGGGGGGGGGGGGGGGGGG
rnacentral:lncRNA from 12 species